rnacentral:rRNA from 1 species
CACUAUCGUUAACUGAAUACAUAGGUUAACGAGGCGAACCGGGGGAACUGAAACAUCUAAGUACCCCGAGGAAAAGAAAUCAACCGAGAUUCCCCCAGUAGCGGCGAGCGAACGGGGAGCAGCCCAGAGUCUGAAUCAGCUUGUGUGUUAGUGGAACGGUCUGGAAAGUCCGACGGUACAGGGUGAUAGUCCCGUACACCAAAAUGCACAGGUUGUGAACUCGAAGAGUAGGGCGGGACACGUGGUAUCCUGUCUGAAUAUGGGGGGACCAUCCUCCAAGGCUAAAUACUCCUGACUGACCGAUAGUGAACCAGUACCGUGAGGGAAAGGCGAAAAGAACCCCGGCGAGGGGAGUGAAAAAGAACCUGAAACCGUGUACGUACAAGCAGUGGGAGCACCUUUAUGGUGUGACUGCGUACCUUUUGUAUAAUGGGUCAGCGACUUAUAUUCUGUAGCAAGGUUAACCGUAUAGGGGAGCCGCAGGGAAACCGAGUCUUAACUGGGCGUUAAGUUGCAGGGUAUAGACCCGAAACCCGGUGAUCUAGCCAUGGGCAGGUUGAAGGUUGGGUAACACUAACUGGAGGACCGAACCGACUAAUGUUGAAAAAUUAGCGGAUGACUUGUGGCUGGGGGUGAAAGGCCAAUCAAACCGGGAGAUAGCUGGUUCUCCCCGAAAGCUAUUUAGGUAGCGCCUCGUGAACUCAUCUUCGGGGGUAGAGCACUGUUUCGGCUAGGGGGUCAUCCCGACUUACCAACCCGAUGCAAACUACGAAUACCGAAGAAUGUUAUCACGGGAGACACACGGCGGGUGCUAACGUCCGUCGUGAAGAGGGAAACAACCCAGACCGCCAGCUAAGGUCCCAAAGUCAUGGUUAAGUGGGAAACGAUGUGGGAAGGCACAGACAGCCAGGAUGUUGGCUUAGAAGCAGCCAUCAUUUAAAGAAAGCGUAAUAGCUCACUGGUCGAGUCGGCCUGCGCGGAAGAUGUAACGGGGCUAAACCAUGCACCGAAGCUGCGGCAGCGAC